UACUAAAAUAGAAAUCUUAAUAAAAUAUUAAAAUAAAAACUUUAAUUAAAUUCCUAUAAAAAUUUAGUCAAACCUUAAUCAAAUCUUAGUCAAACCUUAGUCAAAUCCUUAUUAAAUUCUAAUCAAUUUCCAAAUAAUCCAUAACCAAAUCCUAGUCAAAUUUUAAAAAAAUCCUAACAAAAUCCUAAUUAAAUCCUAAAUAAAUCCUAAUCAAUCUUAAAUAAAAUUUAGUCAAAUCCUAAAGAAACCUUAAAUAAGUCCUAAUCAAACCUUAAAAAAAAUCCAAGUCAAAUCCUAGUCAAUCUUAAAUAAAAUUUAGUCAAAUCCUAAAUAAACCUUAAAUAAGUCCUAAUCAAACCUUAAACAAAUCCAAGUCAAAUCUUAGUCAAAUACUAAUCAAACUUUAAACAAAUCCUAAACAAACUCUAACUAAAUCCUAAGCUAAACCAAAUCCUAAACCAAACUCUAAAUCAAAUCCUAAAUCAAAUCCUAAACCCUAACCAAAUCUUAGACAAAUUCUAAGAAAAUCUUAAAUAUGUCAUAACCAAACCUUACACAAAUCCUAGAAAAAUCCUAGUCAAAUCUUAAUUGAAUUCUAAUCAAAUCCUAAACAAAUCCUAACUAAAUCCUAAUUAAAUCAAAUCCUAAACUAAAUCCUAAAUCUUAGCCAAAUCCUAACCAAAUCCUAACCGAAUCCUAAUCAAUUCUAAGUAAUUUCUAUAGCAGAUUUAGACCUCAAUAACUAAUGAAUGAACCAUUAAUUUCAACUCAAAAUUUACACACUUCUUAAAAGUUAAGUUAACAACUAGUAUUAAAAAAAUUCAAAAGAAUCAGAAUUAUCAAAUAGAUAAUAAUCUCAAAAAUAUGCUUGGAUAUCCCCUGGCUUCCUUCUCUGACCUUGAUGCCAAUCUCUCAGAGUCAAUUAUUCUUGAUUCAACCAUUACUUUACUUUCAAACUUUAUAAACUUAUUAGAAAUCAAGCUGACUACUUCUAUAAAAAAUAAUUGUCUCAAUCUAACUAGCGGAUUGAUAGAUAUCUAAGAAAACCUCAC
rnacentral:lncRNA from 1 species